rnacentral:rRNA from 1 species
AACCUGCCCAAUGAGGAUUUAAAUGGCCGCAGUAUUUUGACUGUGCAAAGGUAGCAUAAUUAUUAGUUUUUUAAUUGAAAGCUUGUAUGAAGGGUUGGACGAGAUAAAAUCUGUCUUUAUUUAAAUUAAAAUAGAAUUUAACUUUUAAGUCAAAAGGCUUAAAUUUAUAUAAAAGACGAGAAGACCCUAUAGAUCUUUAUUUAAUUAGUAUUUUAAUAAUUUAGGAUUAAUUUAAUUUAAAGUUUUAAUUGAAUUUUAUUGGGGUAAUAUAAAGAUUAAAAAAAUUCUUUUUAUUUAUAACAUUAAUUUAUGAAUAUAUGAUCCAGUAUUACUGAUUAUAAGAUUAAGUUACCUUAGGGAUAACAGCGUAAUUUUUUUGGAGAGCUCAUAUCGAUAAAAAAGUUUGCGACCUCGAUGUUGGAUUAAAAAUUAGCUUGGGUGUAGAAGCUCAAGAUUUUGGUCUGUUCGACCAUUAAAUUUUUACAUGAUCUGAGUUCAGACCGGCGUAAGCCAGGUCGGUUUCUAUCUUUAUUUAAUUAGAAUAUUUUAGUACGAAAGGACCAAAUAUUUAAUAUAAUUAUAUUUAAUUUUUGAAUAAUAUU